GCCCUUAUGGGCUGGGCUACACACGUGCUACAAUGGCGGUGACAAUGGGCAGCGAGGUCGCAAGGCCAAGCGAAUCCCCAAAAACCGUCUCAGUUCGGAUUGUACUCUGCAACUCGAGUGCAUGAAGGCGGAAUCGCUAGUAAUCGCGGAUCAGCAUGCCGCGGUGAAUACGUUCCCGGGCCUUGUACACACCGCCCGUCACACCAUGGGAGUUGGCUUUACCCGAAGACGGUGCGCUAACCGCAAGGAGGCAGCCGGCCACGGUAAGGUCAGCGACUGGGGUGAAGUCGUAACAAGGUAGCCGUAGGGG
rnacentral:rRNA from 1 species